rnacentral:rRNA from 1 species
GUACACACCGCCCGUCACACCAUGAGAGUUGGAAAUACCCGAAGCCUGUGAGCUAACUUAAAGAGGCAGCAGUCGAAGGUAGAGCCAAUGAUUGGGGUGAAGUCGUAACAAGGUAGC